GAUGAACGCUGGCGGCGUGCCUAAUACAUGCAAGUCGAGCGAACAGACGAGGAGCUUACUCCUCUGACGUUAGCGGCGGACGGGUGAGUAACACGUGGAUAACCUACCUAUAAGACUGGGAUAACUUCGGGAAACCGGAGCUAAUACCGGAUAACAUGUUGAACCGCAUGGUUCAACAGUGAAAGACGGUCUUCUGUCACUUAUAGAUGGAUCCGCGUCGCAUUAGCUAGUUGGUAAGGUAACGGCUUACCAAGGCAACGAUGCGUAGCCGACCUGAGAGGGUGAUCAGCCACACUGGAACUGAGACACGGUCCAGACUCCUACGGGAGGCAGCAGUAGGGAAUCUUCCGCAAUGGGCGAAAGCCUGACGGAGCAACGCCGCGUGAGUGAAGAAGGUCUUCGGAUCGUAAAACUCUGUUAUUAGGGAAGAACAAAUGUGUAAGUAACUAUGCACGUCUUGACGGUACCUAAUCAGAAAGCCACGGCUAACUACGUG
rnacentral:rRNA from 1 species